GACUGCCUGAGGGAAUGGCAUGAAGCUGCGUCAGUGGAAGUUAAGGUUGGGUGUUAGGAAAAGGUUCUUCACUACAGACAGAACUACAACAGGCUCCCCAGUCUGCCUUCUACAGACUCUUAUCUCCUGGUCCUGCAUUUCCAAAUGUGUCUCCCAUGGGACUCUCAUACAGAGAGGCGAGAAGAGAACAGAUCCAAGGAUAAGCAGUGUUGAAAGGGAUUUUCCAGGAGGAGGUAUUCACCACUGAAGUAUUUGGAUCCUGCAGCUGCAGGUUUAGAAGCUGGAGAGUGCCCAGAUGUUUCCAGCUUUUGUCAGUUCCUGCGUUGGAUGACUGCCCCAGCUCCUACAGCCAACACAUUGCCCUUCCUCUUUUGGGUAGUAAAGUAAAAGGGUAUUGUUUCUGCUGGGCUUGCUUUUGAAAGCAAAAGGAGCAGGAAAAAAUAGUGUAUUUUGAAAAAUAUUGUGUAUAAGGCUCUCUUAUGCCCUUAUAUAGAAAAGAGAUAUUCAAGAGUGCUUGAAACACACAGAACAGUUGAAUGAGGAUGGGACAGACUCUGAAAUGUGGUUGCAGGAUGUGUGCCCUAAGGCUACUAGCAAUACCAGUACCCAUGAGGAUCAUUUCUGGAUGAAAUUUGGAGGCUGUGCUGAUAGACCCACUAGAUGGAGAAAUAGUUUCAGUGUAGGGUGACUAAAAUGACAUUGCUUCCCCGACAUGUUGCACAAUGCAUAUUUCAAGCCUGCUGAAGUAUUACCUGUA